GACAGAGGGUGCAAACGUUGCUCGGAAUCACUGGGAGUAAAGGGCGUGUAGGCGGGAAGGAAAGUCAGAUGUGAAAUCCCUGGGCUCAACCCAGGAACUGCAUUUGAAACUCCCUUUCUUGAGUACCGGAGAGGAAGGUGGAAUUCCUGGUGUAGAGGUGAAAUUCGUAGAUAUCAGGAGGAACACCAGUGGCGAAGGCGGCCUUCUGGACGGUAACUGACGCUGAGGAGCGAAAGCGUGGGUAGCGAACAGG
rnacentral:rRNA from 1 species